rnacentral:rRNA from 1 species
AUACGUAGGGAGCGAGCGUUGUCCGGAAUUACUGGGUGUAAAGGGUGCGUAGGCGGGACUGCAAGUCAGAUGUGAAAUGCCGGGGCUCAACCCCGGAGCUGCAUUUGAAACUGUGGUUCUUGAGUGAGGAAGAGGUAAGCGGAAUUCCUUGUGUAGCGGUGAAAUGCGUAGAUAUUAGGAGGAACAUCGGUGGCGAAGGCGGCUUACUGGGCCUUUACUGACGCUGAGGCACGAAAGCGUGGGGAGCAAACAGGAUUAGAUACCCUGGUAGUCCACGCUGUAUACGAUGAUGACUAGGUGUGGGGGGACUGAACCCUUCCGUGCCGCAGUUAACACAAUAAGUCAUCCACCUGGGGAGUACGGCCGCAAGGUUGAAACUCAAAUGAAUUGGCGGGG